CAAAAUCUAGUAUAUAGAUGGUGACUUAGGGAUGGUGGUUGAUGGGUAAAAUGAUGAAUUACCUGAGUUUAAAUCUGAAACGACUUGGGAGAAAUAAGGCAGCGUUGGCUAAGACAAACAUGCUCAUCAACAUGUGUGGUCCUCAAGCUUCCAACUCACAAGCGUCUCAGCCCACAAAUUCAGAUUCGCUUACUCAGGCUUGAUCUCCAAGUACCUACCUUCUG
rnacentral:lncRNA from 1 species